rnacentral:rRNA from 1 species
UAAAGAUUCAUCGGCUGCGGAUGGCCAUGCGGCGCAUUAGCUAGUCGGCGGGGUAACGGCCCACCGAGGCGACGAUGCGUAGGGGUUCUGAGAGGAAGGUCCCCCACACUGGUACUGAGACACGGACCAGACUCCCACGGGAGGCAGCAGUGAGGAAUAUUGGUCAAUGGCCGGGAGGCUGAACCAGCCAAGUCGCGUGAGGGAAGACGGCCCUACGGGUUGUAAACCUCUUUUGUCAGGGAGCAAGAGGCGGGUCGAGACCUGCUGUGAGAGUACCUGAAGAAAAAGCAUCGGCUAACUCCGUGCCAGCAGCCGCGGUAAUACGGAGGAUGCGAGCGUUAUCCGGAUUUAUUGGGUUUAAAGGGUGCGCAGGCGGAGGCACAAGUCAGCGGUAAAAUCGCGGGGCUCAACCCCGCUCCGCCGUUGAAACUGUGUCCCUUGAGUGCGCGAAGGGUAGGCGGAAUGCGUGGUGUAGCGGUGAAAUGCAUAGAUAUCACGCAGAACUCCGAUCGCGAAGGCAGCCUACCGGCGCGCAACUGACGCUCAUGCACGAAAGCGUGGGUAUCGAACAGGAUUAGAUACCCUGGUAGUCCACGCAGUAAACGAUGAAUGCUAUCUGUCCGGCCGGAAUGACGGCUGG